AAGACUAUACUUUCAGGGAUCAUUUCUAUAGUUUGUUACUACGUGGAGUUUUUUGAUUUAAAAUAACUAAUU
rnacentral:snoRNA from 1 species